CAAGGGAAGGUGAAGGGAGAGAGGAAAGGUGGAAAAGAUAGAAAUAAAACAAGAACCGGGAGAGGAAGAACAAGGGAGAGGUAAAGAGGGGGGACGGGAGGGAGAGGUGGAAAGAGAGAAAAAAAAAAAGGUGAAUUGAAAGCUGAGGACUGGAAGAGGAGAGAAUAAUGAAAAGAAAGAAAGAUAAGAGUGAAGGAAGGAGGAGGAAGGAGGUGGAGAGAAAGAGAGAAAAAGGUUUGGGUAGGGAGAAAAGCUAAUGGAGAGAUAAAAAAAUCGGAAAAUAAAAGCAACGUGAAAGAAAAAGAAAAUAUGAACAGGAAGAAGAAAGAAACAUGAAUGGAAGAAGGAGAAGAGAAAGAGAGGAAAAGGUCUGGGUAGGGAGAGAAGUGAAUGGAGAGAUAAAAAUACAGGAAAAUAAAUGCAAAGUAAAAGAGAAGGAGAACAUGGAUAGGAAGAAGAAAGAAACAUGAAUGGAAGAAGGAGAAGAGAAAGAAAGGAAAAGGUCUGGGUAGGGAGAGAAGUGAAUGGAGAGAUAAAAAGACAGGAAAAUAAAUGCAGAGUGAAAGAGAAUGAGAAUAUGGAUAGGAAGAAGAAAGAAACAUGAAUGGAAGAAGGGGAUGAGAAAGAGAGGAAAAGGUCUGGGUAGGGAGAGAAGUGAAUGGAGAGAUAAAAAGACAGGAAAAUAAAUGCAGAGUGAAAGAGAAUGAGAAUAUGCUUCCUCCCUCGAUCCCUCGCCUCACCUGUUAAUCACCCCGCCAUGCGUCUCCGCGUCAAAACAGUCAAGGUGAAAAUAUUACUGAGCCGCACUUGGGACACCUGAGACGCGGCGCCGCAGGUAACCUCAUUAUCUGUCACCUUAAUGAGCGCCAGGUGGAGGUGACGCCAAUUUAGGAGAUAAUCUGAAUGGGGAGGAGGAGGAGGAGGAGGAGGAGGAAGAAUUUUAAGAUCAAAGCGUGAGAAACUGUUCAAGCUGAGAGGAAUUAAGAUCGUGACCUUUUUUUUUUAGUUGGUAGAAGUGGAGCAAAAAAAAAAGGGAGAGAGAGAGAGAGAGAGAGAGAGAGAGAGAGAGAGAGAGAGAGAGAGA